UGAUAUGCUCCUGGACUACAGAGA
rnacentral:piRNA from 1 species